CUUUGGAGCCCUCUACUGGCUUGGAGGCUCUAAGCAGUAGCUAAGUUUGGUUUGCUUGGACCCGCUCAGGUUUCAAAUGCUUCAAAAACAUCUCAUCUGUGCUUGAACCCAUUUCAAAGCAACUGUCUGUAAAUUGAUUUUAUGUUUAUUCAAAGCACUCAUGAAAAAACACAAAUUACAGAUCAGCGUUUUUUUUUUUUUUAUCUCUCUGCAAACAGAGGUGCUGGCAACUUUUUCAAUAGAUAUAAGGCAACCUUCAGUCACAUAGCCAGAAUCAGCCUCUGACCUUCUUCUCUUCCCGUCUAUGAAAACAGAUGACAUUAGGUUGGUGGAGGCUUUACUGUGACGCUGUCAUUAAACUCCACCUUUCACCCUGCGGGGGCUCACACUGUGAUUUACCUCUUUGGGAACGUACAGUAGGAGGAUAAUAUCUCCAUACACUGAUAAAUCUCUCUUCCUGCCUUUUCUCCUGUCAUCACAUCUCUUUUCCUCUUGUCAGGCUGAACCUGGCUGAUCUGUUCAAUCACCCAAGAGCGCCGAGGCAGGAGCCCGUAAAGAGCUUCAACUGGGAAUGUCUGGCCAUCAGUCUGGAGACCUCAAGUCUCUCAGAGAGUUUCUCUGAUCUUCUUCUGGAGGUUGGGAAACUGUGACCACGUUCAGGGCCUUUUCUGAAACAGCUUUCAGGAGCUGUGACCUGAAGGUUGGAUGAACUCGGUUCAACUAUGAAGAACCUGGAUUUCCUCAACCUUAUCAAGCAACCUGGAGGUUUGUGGAUGGCAGCUAAUUGCCCAGCUAGGAGUAUGAAAUCCCAGCCUGAACUCGUUCUCUGGUCUGGUAGGAGGCUGAUACAGAUUAGCCUCCCAUCUCAUUAAACUUGCUUUGGCCAUAUAAAAAAGAAACAGCUUCCAACACACUGGAGUCUUCAGACCACACUUCCUCAUUCUUGAACUCACGUAAACUCUAUAAACUCACACUUGGGAAAAGUUAGUUGUGUUAAAGACAUGGAUUGUUUAGCUGUUGUUCUUGGACAUUAUUGUUUAUUGUUUAUUGUAAUACAUGGUGCCAUGUAUUUCAGUCUUUUUCAUGAAUUACUGUUCUCCAACUCCAGCAGGUGAAUCUAAUCUUCUGUGUUUCAGCCUUUUUUUAACAGUGUAGCUGUGUAAGAAAGCUAACUGGGUUCUACAAUUGUUUCAUAAGAAAAAUUUGAAGAUACAUUU